AGUACAGUAGAGGUGGGCGGAAUUCGUGGUGUAGCGGUGAAAUGCUUAGAUAUCACGAAGAACUCCGAUUGCGAAGGCAGCUCACUGGACUGCAACUGACACUGAUGCUCGAAAGUGUGGGUAUCAAACAGGAUUAGAUACCCUGGUAGUCCACACAGUAAACGAUGAAUACUCGCUGUUUGCGAUAUACAGUAAGCGGCCAAGCGAAAGCAUUAAGUAUUCCACCUGGGGAGUACGCCGGCAACGGUGAAACUCAAAGGAAUUGACGGGGGCCCGCACAAGCGGAGGAACAUGUGGUUUAAUUCGAUGAUACGCGAGGAACCUUACCCGGGCUUAAAUUGCAGUGGAAUGAUGUGGAAACAUGUCAGUGAGCAAUCACCGCUGUGAAGGUGCUGCAUGGUUGUCGUCAGCUCGUGCCGUGAGGUGUCGGCUUAAGUGCCAUAACGAGCGCAACCCUUAUCUUCAGUUACUAACAGGUCAUGCUGAGGACUCUGGAGAGACUGCCGUCGUAAGAAGUGAGGAAGGUGGGGAUGACGUCAAAUCAGCACGGCCCUUACGUCCGGGGCUACACACGUGUUACAAUGGGGGGUACAGAAGGCAGCUAGCGGGUGGCCGUNNNNUAAUCCCAAAAUCCUCUCUCAGUUCGGAUCGAAGUCUGCAACCCGACUUCGUGACGCUGGAUUCGCUAGUAAUCGCGCAUCAGCCACGGCGCGGUGAAUACGUUCCCGGGCCUUGUACACACCGCCCGUCAAGCCAUGGGAGCCGGGGGUACCUGAAGUACGUAACCGCAAGGAUCGUCCUAGGGUAAAACUGGUGACUGGGGCUAAGUCGUAACAAGGUAACCA
rnacentral:rRNA from 1 species